rnacentral:rRNA from 1 species
AUUGAACGCUGGCGGCAGGCCUAACACAUGCAAGUCGAGCGGAUGAAGGGAGCUUGCUCCUGGAUUCAGCGGCGGACGGGUGAGUAAUGCCUAGGAAUCUGCCUGGUAGUGGGGGAUAACGUCCGGAAACGGGCGCUAAUACCGCAUACGUCCUGAGGGAGAAAGUGGGGGAUCUUCGGACCUCACGCUAUCAGAUGAGCCUAGGUCGGAUUAGCUAGUUGGUGGGGUAAAGGCCUACCAAGGCGACGAUCCGUAACUGGUCUGAGAGGAUGAUCAGUCACAGGGGAAGAGAAACACGGCCCAGCUUGCAACGGGGGCGACGGGUGGGAAAUUUAGAAAAAGGGGCGAAACCUGCAUCCGGCCAUGCAGCGUGUGUGAGGAGAGUCUUAGAAUGAUAAACAACUUUAGGGCGGGGGGAGGGAGUGAAAGUUAAUACGUUCUUUUUUGAACGUCCCCAAAAAAAAACCCCCCGGCAAACUUGGUG